rnacentral:rRNA from 1 species
CGUAGGGUGCAAGCGUUAAUCGGAAUUACUGGGCGUAAAGCGUGCGCAGGCGGUGAUGUAAGACAGGUGUGAAAUCCCCGGGCUUAACCUGGGAACUGCAUUUGUGACUGCAUCGCUGGAGUGCGGCAGAGGGGGAUGGAAUUCCGCGUGUAGCAGUGAAAUGCGUAGAUAUGCGGAGGAACACCGAUGGCGAAGGCAAUCCCCUGGGCCUGCACUGACGCUCAUGCACGAAAGCGUGGGGAGCAAACAGG